rnacentral:lncRNA from 1 species
CCACAUUAUUCUCUUCAUUGGCAUUGAUAUCAAGAAUAUUGAAGCAUAACUCUCCACUUUCAUCUCACAAAAGCUCUCAAGGUAAGAAAUUUAACUUUCUAUGCAAAGAUUGAAGUAUUUCUUUGAUUUUAUGAAUUUUUCGAAUUGGUUGAGUGUUGAAAUGUGAUUGAGUUGUGAUUUGUGGUUUAGCUCUAAGUGUAGAUCAAUAACAAAUUGUAAGGAAUUCCCAAUGCACACAACGUGUUUGAUUAAAUGUCAAUGAGACAUAUGAUUUGAAAUUUUGGACUUUUCAUUUGUGUGAUG